AGGACUAACGCUGGCGGCGUGCCUAACACAUGCAAGUCGAACGAGGGGUAGCAAUACCCCUAGUGGCAGACGGGUGAGUAACACGUAGUCAACCUACCUCUUAAUGGGGGAUAACUAGCCGAAAGGUUAGCUAAUACCGCAUACGAUCGUCGAGUGGCAUCACACGACGAUGAAAGGAGCAAUCCGUUGAGAGAGGGGACUGCGUCCCAUUAGUUAGUUGGUGGGGUAAUGGCCUACCAAGACUCCGAUGGGUAGCUGGCUUGAGAGAGCGACCAGCCACACUGGAACUGAGGCACGGUCCAGACUCCUACGGGAGGCAGCAGUGAGGAAUUUUCCGCAAUGGGGGAAACCCUGACGGAGCGACGCCGCGUGUGGGAAGAAGGCCUUCGGGUCGUAAACCACUGUCGAGGGGACGAUAUUGACGGUACCCCUGGAGGAAGCCCCGGCUAACUACGUGCCAGCAGCCGC
rnacentral:rRNA from 1 species